rnacentral:rRNA from 1 species
GGUUUCCCUUUACGAAUUGUAGUUUAAAGAAGUGGUUUCUGUUGAGGUUUUGGUAAAAGUUCUUUGGAACAGGACAUCAUAGAGGGUGAGAAUCCCGUAUUUGACCUUUACUUUCAACUUUGUGAUACACUUUCAAAGAGUCGGAUUGUUUGGGAAUGCAGUCCAAAAUGGGUGGUAAAUUUCAUCUAAAGCUAAAUAUUGGCGAGAGACCGAUAGCGAACAAGUACCGUGAGGGAAAGAUGAAAAGAACUUUGAAAGGAGAGUUAAACAGUACGUGAAAUUGUCAAAAGGGAAGCGUUUGACACCAGUGUUGUUUUUCUGAAAAUCAAUUAAAGAACUGUUUAUGCUAAGUUGUUUAGACUUUAUCAGCUAACUGUUUAGUUUUGAGCUUUUCUUU